rnacentral:rRNA from 1 species
GCAGUCGAACGAUGAACUCCAGCUUGCUGGAGGGAUUAGUGGCGAACGGGUGAGUAACACGUGAGUAACCUGCCCUUGACUCUGGGAUAAGCGUUGGAAACGACGUCUAAUACCGGAUAUGAGCUGUGACGGCAUCGUCUGCAGUUGGAAAGAUUUUUUGGUCAAGGAUGGACUCGCGGCCUAUCAGGUAGUUGGUGAGGUAAUGGCUCACCAAGCCGACGACGGGUAGCCGGCCUGAGAGGGUGACCGGCCACACUGGGACUGAGACACGGCCCAGACUCCUACGGGAGGCAGCAGUGGGGAAUAUUGCACAAUGGGCGAAAGCCUGAUGCAGCAACGCCGCGUGAGGGACGACGGCCUUCGGGUUGUAAACCUCUUUUAGUAGGGAAGAAGCGAAAGUGACGGUACCUGCAGAAAAAGCACCGGCUAACUACGUGCCAGCAGCCGCGGUAAUACGUAGGGUGCAAGCGUUGUCCGGAAUUAUUGGGCGUAAAGAGCUCGUAGGCGGUUUGUCGCGUCUGCUGUGAAAUCUGGGGGCUCAACCCCCAGCCUGCAGUGGGUACGGGCAGACUAGAGUGCGGUAGGGGAGAUUGGAAUUCCUGGUGUAGCGGUGGAAUGCGCAGAUAUCAGGAGGAACACCGAUGGCGAAGGCAGAUCUCUGGGCCGUAACUGACGCUGAGGAGCGAAAGCAUGGGGAGCGAACAGGAUUAGAUACCCUGGUAGUCCAUGCCGUAAACGUUGGGAACUAGAUGUAGGGGCCAUUCCACGGUUUCUGUGUCGCAGCUAACGCAUUAAGUUCCCCGCCUGGGGAGUACGGCCGCAAGGCUAAAACUCAAAGGAAUUGACGGGGGCCCGCACAAGCGGCGGAGCAUGCGGAUUAAUUCGAUGCAACGCGAAGAACCUUACCAAGGCUUGACAUAUACCGGAAACGUCCAGAGAUGGUCGCCCCGCAAGGUCG